GAUGAAGAACGUAGCGAAAUGCGAUAAUUAAUGUGAAUUGCAGAAUUCCGUGAAUCAUCGAGUCUUUUAACGCACAUUGCGCCUCAUGGCAUUCCGUGAGGCAUGCCCAUCUCAGCGUUAGAAAAUAUUCUCAAAUUUUAGUUUUGUGCUAAAAUUUGGAUCAUGUCAAGGAAGCUAUUACUAUUAUUGUGAUCGCUCUUUGGAAAUUGAUAGGUCUUUGAGUUGCUACUCAUAGAACGUGAUGAAUCUUUCUUCGUUCUAUUGUAAUUCACUCUGGUAGUCCUAAAACUUGUAUGCCUGUGGCAUAUCUUGUAAUUUGACCUGAGAUUGGGUAGGGAUACCCGCUGAACUUAAGCAUAUCAAUAAGCGGAGGA
rnacentral:misc_RNA from 1 species